rnacentral:rRNA from 1 species
CCUACGGGAGGCAGCAGUGAGGAAUAUUGGUCAAUGGACGAGAGUCUGAACCAGCCAAGUAGCGUGAAGGAUGACUGCCCUAUGGGUUGUAAACUUCUUUUAUAUGGGAAUAAAACGUUCCACGUGUGGGAUUUUGUAUGUACCAUAUGAAUACGGAUCGGCUAACUCCGUGCCAGCAGCCGCGGUAAUACGGAGGCUCCGAGCGUUAUCCGGAUUUAUGGGGGUUAAAGGGUGGGCAGGCGGAGGUGCAAGUCAGCGGUCAAAUUGCGGGGCUCAACCCCGUACUGCAGUUGAAACUGCAUCCCUUGAGUGCGCGAGAGGUAUGCGGAAUGCGUGGUGUAGCGGUGAAAUGCAUAGAGAUCACGAAGAACUCCGAUUGCGAAGGC